AUGGAGCACCUGAGCGCCGAGGGCAAGGCGGUCUAUGAGACCAUAACCCAGGCAAGCGAGGCGGCCCAUCUACGUCACCAGAAGGAGCUCGACGCGCUCAUCGUGGCGGCGGUGGGGAGCACCGUCGAUGCUGCGGUGUCGCGUUCCGUCGGGGCGGCGGUCGACAAGGCGGUGGAGGCGGCGAUGGGGACGGUCGUCAACGAUAUGCAGGCGGAAGCCGACCUCCUCAAGCAAAUUCAGGACCUCCGCACUGCCAAGAGCACCACCUUCCGCUCCAGCGAUUUGGAGGGAUCCGAGCGUUCGCCGACGGCCACGGCAGAGGCGAAUCAGGCAGGAUUCAAGGCGUCACUGUCGACCAGAGGACCAGGUUCGAGUACGCAAGCACUGUAUGUUCCGCCGGCCGCUAGAGGUAUACCUGAAUUACCGCGGCCGAGUUCAUCAUUUUCCAGUCUAUUGCACCGCGAGCGGAGGAACAGUUCGUCAGGCCAUGGGAAACCUCCUUCUGUUGAUUUCCCAAAAUUUGAUGGAGAGAAUCCAAAGCUUUGGCAAACGCGGUGUGUGGACUAUUUUGCCAUGUUUGACACUGACCCGAAUCUCUGGAUUGCUGUUGCCGCUAUGCAAUUCGAAGGAGCAGCAACGCGCUGGUUAUUGUCAGUUCAACACAAAUUUGUUCGAUCGUCAUGGGAGGAUUUUUGUACUGCAGUUCUGAAUCGUUUUGGCCGCAACCAACAUCAGUCCCUAGUGCGCAAACUAUACCGGUUGAAACAGACAGGGACAGUGGAAGAGUACAUCAACCAAUUUUCUGAACUUAUGGACCAGUUGACAGCGUAUGAGCCUGAGCCUGAUAUGCUGCAUUACACCACCGGUUUCAUUGAUGGUCUGAAAGUCAAUGUGAGAAUGGUUGUAGCAGUACAGCGCCCAGCGGAUUUGGACACAGCUUAUUCCAUUGCUGCUGUUCAGGAGGAAAUGGGGGGCCAUGAAGCUGAAACUGUAUCCAAGAAGUAUACUGCACCUAUGUUUCCUCAUUCAGACAGGAUGGUGCCAUCGAAGCAUGUCGAAGAGCACAAAACAUCAGACAAGUCUAAGACCACCGGUUCAGAGGACAAGUUGGCAACACUCAAAGCAUACCGCAGAGCAAAAGGACUUUGUUUCAUCUGUGGUGAGCGUUGGGGGCGCGACCAUAAGUGCAACACUACAGUUCAGCUACACGUGGUGCAAGAAAUGUUGGAAUUUUGUGCCUUGGAUAACAUGGAUUCGGAUGAUAGUGAUAUGGAUUUAAUGGUACUGUCAGCUGAAGCACAACAAGUUCAAGGGGGAACUAAUGCAAUCAGAUUAGAGUGCCAAUUGGGUGGUCAUGCAGUGGUGCUUCUGGUGGAUUCAGGUAGUUCUCAUUCUUUCAUCAGUGCUCGGUUGGCUGCUCACAUUGCAGGCCAGCAAUUACUGCCUGCACAACAAACUGUCAGGAUUGCUGCUGGAGGUGUUACCUCUGCAACAUCAUGA
rnacentral:rRNA from 1 species